UACGGAGGGGGCUAGCGUUGUCCGAAGUUACUGGGCGUAAAGGGCGCGUAGGCGGUCGUGACAAGUCACUUGUGAAAUCUCCGGGCUUAACUCGGAACGGUCAAAUGAUACUGUCGGACUAGAGUACAGAAGGGGGCAACUGGAAUUCUCGGUGUAGCGGUGAAAAUGCGUAGAUAUCGAGAGGAACACCUGCGGCGAAGGCGGGUUGCUGGGCUGAUACUGACGCUGAUGCGCGAAAGCCAGGGGAGCGAACGGG
rnacentral:rRNA from 1 species